GAAAAAAUACUAGUUUAUGUGUGUGAAUAUGUAUGUGUGAGAUAAUAGAAGCUCUGAGUGAAGUCUAAUUGUGUGAUAACAUAAUUUUCUUUUUUCUCGUUUGUUUUCUCCACUUUUUGCUGCAUAAAAACCCCCAACAUGCACUGAGAGAGGUUUGUCAUGAGGCAGAGUGUGUGAGAGCAGAGUGUGUGAGAGGUGUGUUAUGAGGCAGAGUGUGUGAGAGCAGAGUGUGUGAGAGGUGUGUUAUGAAGCAGAGUGUGUGAGAGGUGUGUCAUGAAGCAGAGUGUGUGAGAGGUGUGUCAUGAAGCAGAGUGUGUGAGAGGUGUGUCAUGAAGCAGAGUGUGUGAGAGGUGUGUCAUGAGGCAGAGUGUGUGAGAGCAGAGUGUGUGAGAGGUGUGUCAUAAUGCAGAAUGUGUGAGAGGUGUGUCGUGAAGAAGAAUGUGUGAGAGGUGUGUCAUGAGGCAGAGUGUGUGAGAGGUGUGUCAUGAGGCAGAGUGUGUGAGAGGUGUGUCAUAAAGCAGAGUGUGUGAGAGGUGUAUCAUGAGGCAGAGUGUGUGAGAGGUGUGUCAUGAAGCAGAGCGUGUGUGAGAGGUGUGUCAUGAAGCAGAGUGUGUGUGAGAGGUGUGUCAUGAAACAGAGCGUGUGAGAGGUGCGUCAUGAGGCAGAGUGUGUGUGAGAGGUGCGUCAUGAGGCAGAGUGUGUGAGAUGUGUGUCAUGAAGCAGAACGUGUGAGAGGUGUGUCAUGAGGCAGAGUGUGUGAGAGGUGUGUCAUGAGGCACAGUGUGUCAUGAGGCAGUGUGUGUGAGAGGUCUGUCAUGAGGCAGAGUGUGUGCUGCUCUCAGCCAGCAGCACGAGGAGCUCCGACUGAGACGCGGCCUCAAAGCGGCAGUGACUGGAACCAGCUGGGGGUGCUGAGGCCCAACUGCAACCGAAAAGCAUGUAGGCUGCUUACAUGCAAUUGUGGACUACUGUGAACAUGCAGACACAAAUGCACAUG
ensembl:lncRNA